rnacentral:lncRNA from 1 species
GGCAUCAGGAAAGAUGGCUGAAUGUUUUCUCCAUUUUCUGAUGGCCAAAAGGAAUACAGGAACCACAGUACCUAGCACAGAACAGAAAUUCUGCUUCUUGCUGAAGAAUACAUUACCGGUGAUGAAAGACUUACUUCGCUCUUCCUUGAGUGAUGCACUGGGGAGAUUAUCUUGUAAACUGAGUGAAAGGGCUGCCAGACACCAUCUCCUAGAAAUGCCUGGAAGAGACAUGAGCUAA